UUACGUGGUUGUACUACUAUUUUAAUCUCGCCGAUAAUUCAACGUUAAUUUUUGUUAACCGAUUCUAUCUCUUCUGGCAUAAAAACCUUAUACCUGACUUGAUAUAAUUUCUUCGAACAAUUACAUAUAAACGUCGGUCUUAGAAAAGAAGAGAAGAGGAUAAAAACGAAGCCGAAUUCGUAUAUUUCAAUAUCGUUAAUUCCAUACGAUUCGAUCGACGAAAGAAUUUGCCCGAACCAAUUCCCAGACUCGAAUGUAAUUACCGAAUCGGGAAUACUUAAAGUUCCCGAACAAGAACGCGAAGACAAAGACAUUGAACGGCAUGCCGCAAUUCUAUUAUCCUGCCGUGAACAACUGGCACGAG
rnacentral:misc_RNA from 1 species